rnacentral:rRNA from 1 species
CUACGGGUCGCUCCAGUGAGGAAUAUUGCACAAUGGGGGGAACCCUGAUGCAGCAACGCCGCGUGGAGGAUGACGCAUUUCGGUGUGUAAACUCCUUUUAUAUGUCAAGAAAAUGACGGUAGCAUAUGAAUAAGCACCGGCUAACUCCGUGCCAGCAGCCGCGGUAAUACGGAGGGUGCAAGCGUUACUCGGAAUCACUGGGCGUAAAGGACGCGUAGGCGGGCUUGUAAGUCAGGUGUGAAAUCCUACAGCUUAACUGUAGAACUGCACUUGAAACUACGAGCCUAGAGUAUGGGAGGGGAGAUGGAAUUAGUGGUGUAGGGGUAAAAUCCGUAGAUAUCACUAGGAAUACCUAAAGCGAAGGCGAUCUCCUGGAACAUAACUGACGCUAAGGCGUGAAAGCGUGGGGAGCAAACAGGAUUAGAUACCCUUGUAGUC